rnacentral:rRNA from 1 species
UACGAAGGGUGCAAGCGUUACUCGGAAUUACUGGGCGUAAAGCGUGCGUAGGUGGUUUGUUAAGUCUGAUGUGAAAGCCCUGGGCUCAACCUGGGAAUUGCAUUGGAUACUGGCAGGCUAGAGUGCGGUAGAGGGUAGUGGAAUUCCAGGUGUAGUGGUGAAAUACGUAGAUAUCUGGAGGAACACCGGUGGCGAAGGCGGCUACCUGGCCCAACAUUGACACUGAGACCCGAAAGCGUGGGGAUCAAACAGG